GCACCGGCAGGUAGGGCGGCUCCAGCGCGCGCGGCGGCCCGUACGCCUCGGGCGGCGGGUUGGCGUAGGGCGGGUACCAGCCCAGGCGUGGGUCUCCGCCAUGGGCCUGCGCCGCCUCGGGACCGGGGUCAGGGUGCCACGGCUUACCAAUGGAAGAUUAGGCCAGAUGGCUCCUGAGAGUGCUUUGGGAGAUUCUCUGUUCCUUCUGGGAAUGGCAGGGAUAGGAGGGGGUCCCAGAAGUUUGAACGCUUUGGCAUCCAAGAAAUCACACUCCAAAUACUGCUCUUCUGGCCUCCCCUGGGCUGCCUUCUCCAACCGUGUUCCUGGGAACCGAAGGGCAGAAAUUGCCCUCUUGGGCUUAUAAACAAGGAGCUCCUGCCUGCCUGGAUGAAGAGGAGGUCAAGACUUUGUCCCCCACUCCGCAAGAUACCCUCUCUGUUCCGGAGCGGUGAGACAGGAUUUCACCAUGUUAGCCAGGAUGGUCUUGAUCUCCUGACCUCAUGAUCUGCCCACCUCGGCCUCCCAAAGUGCUGGGCUUACAGGCGUGAGCCACCGUGCCCGGCCAAAAAUAACUUUUAAAAACAUGAGUAUAGCAUACACACACACAAAAGUCCACAAAUCCUAGGUGUACCACUUGAUGAAUGAUCCCAACGUGAGCACACCUCUGGAUUACCACCUGGAUCAAGAAAUAGGACAUCACAGCAGCUGGCAGCUUCCAAGGAGAAGCUCUGGAAAGUUCUGCCUGUCUCAGCACCUGGCUGGAUCGGAAACGAGUUUUCUUUAACCAGAUUUUUAAUGACUGACUUAUGUGGACAAAUCAUAACUGAAUGAAUCACCUCCUUUGUUGAUUUUUUUGGGUACUUUAUUUGCUAUUAUAAAUGAUGCUGUAAUAAGCACCCUUGAAGAAAUCUUCAUAUCUGCCUCUCCUGUGUAGCAGGUCACAGUGCCUGGGUUUGGUUCUAGCCCUCAUUUGUGAACUGUGUGACUCACCAUGCCUUUUUUCUUUCUGUAAGACAGGAAUAAUGGUAAGAAUUUAAAUGGGGGUAAUAUGGAGCGCGUUUAGUUCAGAGCCUGGUGCAUACAAGCACUCAAUAAGUACUGGCGAUUAUUAGACCUUUAGAUUAAUUUAUUAGAAGUUGGAUUUCUGGUGAAAGGGUUUGAGUGUUUUUGAGGCUUUGGCACAGAAUACCCAGCUGGUCCCAGAAAGGUGGUUCCCAUUUACCUGCCCGAAGGUAAUUCACCCUUACUGAUACUGAGUACUGUUUUCUAAAAGAACAUUAAAAAUUGGAUAGGUUAAAAACAGGUGAAUACAUUUUUUUAGUUGCAUUUUUUUGGUUACCCGUGAGAGUGAACAUGUUGCCAUGUGUUUGCUGACCUCCUAAAUGGUCUAUUUGCUCCUACCUUUGUACCCCAAAAGUCUGCUCUCAAGAUGGUAGCCAGAAUGAUCCUUUUUGAGACAUAAGUCAAAAUUUCACUCUUCUCCUUAAAGCUCUGCAAUGGUUCUCAGGUUAAAAGCCAAAGUCCUGUUCAAGGCCUCCAGGGUCCUCACCACUUGGUCCCUUGCUCUUUCUGUUCUAGCCAACUUGGCCUUCUCCUGCCCCUCCGCCGCACCAUGGCAAUUUCCCCUGCUCUGUGUGGUCAACUACCUGAAUCUGUUCAAAGCUUUGCUCAAAUGUCUCCUUCCUGAUGAGACCUCCCCAGCCCCUGAGCUCCCCAUGCCUCACUCCUGAUCGCCUUACUUAACCCUUCUUUUUCUUUUUUGCCAGUAGUACUUAUCACCGUCUAAAAUACUUCAUAAUUUACUUGUUUAUUGUUUGCCCCUCUCCAAUAGAAUGUAAGCUCCUUGGGGCAGGGACCUUUGUCCUUUGUCUUGUUCACUGCUGUGUCCCAUGUGUAAACUUGUCUGGCACAGAAGAGGUGCUCGAUAAAUAUUUGUUGAGUGAAUGAAUGGUAAAUUUUCUGUUCAUAUUCUUUGACUAUUUUCUAUUGUAAUGUUCAUCUUUUUAGUAUUGGUUUAUAAGAUGUAUAUUUAGCACCUUUUCAUAUAUCACUCUUUGUCACAUAUUAUGCAACUAAUUUGUCAUUUCCAUCAAUUUUUAAAAUACUUUCUUGAUGCUUCAUUUUUAAGCUGUCAGAUUAUUAAUCUUUUCUUUAUGGUCUUGGACUUUAUUGUUGCAUAACCGCUGCCUUCACCAGGAACAUAUAAAUUUUCAAUUAAAUGUUCUUCUGAGAUUUUAUGAUUUCACUUUUUAUAUUAAACUCUUCAUUUUGUCUUCAUGUGUGGUGAGAGGUAAGAACAUAACUUUAAAGCAAAUUAACCAACUAUCCCCAAAUGAAUUAUAAAUAAAUUAAUCAUUUUCCAAU
rnacentral:lncRNA from 1 species